AACGAACGCUGGCGGCAUGCCUAACACAUGCAAGUCGAACGAGACCUUCGGGUCUAGUGGCGCACGGGUGCGUAACGCGUGGGAACCUGCCCUUAGGUUCGGAAUAACUCCCCGAAAGGGGUGCUAAUACCGGAUAAUGUCUUCGGACCAAAGAUUUAUCGCCUUUGGAUGGGCCCGCGUUGGAUUAGCUAGUUGGUAGGGUAAAAGCCUACCAAGGCGACGAUCCAUAGCUGGUCUGAGAGGAUGAUCAGCCACACUGGGACUGGGACACGGCCCAGACUCCUACAGGAUGCAGCAGUGGGGAAUAUUGGACAAUGGGCGAAAGCCUGAUCCAGCAAUGCCGCGUGAGUGAUGAAGGCCUUAGGGUUGUAAAGCUCUUUUACCCGGGAUGAUAAUGACAGUACCGGGAGAGUAAGCUCCGGCUAACUCCGUG
rnacentral:rRNA from 1 species